rnacentral:rRNA from 1 species
CACGUAGGUGGCAAGCGUUGUCCGGAAUUAUUGGGCGUAAAGCGCGCGCAGGCGGUUUCUUAAGUCUGAUGUGAAAGCCCCCGGCUCAACCGGGGAGGGUCAUUGGAAACUGGGAAACUUGAGUGCAGAAGAGGAAAGUGGAAUUCCAAGUGUAGCGGUGAAAUGCGUAGAGAUUUGGAGGAACACCAGUGGCGAAGGCGACUUUCUGGUCUGUAACUGACGCUGAGGCGCGAAAGCGUGGGGAGCAAACAGG